rnacentral:ncRNA from 1 species
GUUCACCGACAGGGGAGCGCGACAGCGCUGAGAGUGCGGGCAACCGCAGACCCUCGGACCUGAUCUGGGUAAUGCCAGCGAAGGGAGUCCUAGAUGACUACCG